AUGAUAGGAUUUUUUGUUCGGCAGGGAUCUCAGGCAGCCCUGUUUCAUCCAUUGGCCAUAAAUCCUGUCUGUAAAGGCAGGUAACUUACUUCCUUCUCCCGGGGAAGGACUUUUUGGUCCUACCCAAAGCUCACUAGUUACAGAGUUGUCCUAGCGACAAAGACGCAAAUCCAAGUUGCAUUCAUCACUGACCAAGGAAGGUGAGUUCAUCUCACCUUGACUCACAGUGAUGACAGGUCCAAGCCGCUGCCUGCGAGCCAGUUCCUAUGCGGAGGUUUGCCGUGGGGGUGGGGGCUGCCAUGGGGACCACCAGGCAACAGAAUGGAGAAGAGAGGAAUUUGGUUUGAAAUGGAAUUUGAGUCUUGAGAGGGGCUGAUUUGGCAAAGGAGGAAUAAACAAGCCGCGUGAGAGCAUCCAGAGGCCUGGAGACCAGGGCCUGUCGCAUGGCUGUGAACAAUGACUGAGCACGGGCCAGGACCCACCCAAGGGAGUCACAGGGAACUGGAGGAGAAGGUGGGGGGCACCUGUGCGUUAUGGUCUGUGACAGUUUUGUCUAGAUUAGGGUUGAAUGUGGGAUGUCCUCACGGGACUCUGGUGAGCUGGGCGUGGGAAAGGCGAUUGACCCCUUGGGGGCUGGUCACCACUUGACAGCUGGUCUCCAGUGGCACCUUAAGAAGGAUGUGAGCAAUGGGAGCCCCCAACCAAGAUGAGGGGCGUAGGGACCCAGUGGCUGUCAAGGUCAGCAACCCACGGAUCUCACAGAAGUCCAUCAGCCUCCACAGAUCUCACGGAAGUCCAUCAGCCUGAAGGCUAAAACAAGCUACUGCACGGACUGGUUCAGAGGAUGAAAGGAGCUAAUGAAAUGCACGGCAGGUGCCUCCUGACAGCAUGCCCCAGCGAGGGUGAGCUUCUGCCGUGGGAGCCUUCGGACCAGAGUCUUCAGGCGUGCAGCGGGCUGUAGUUCCCCUGCCCUGCACCCAAGCCUCCCUCCUUCCAGAUGAAUAGGAAGAGGUUACAGCUGACCCGGUUUCACUCCCAGCAGCAGCAGAUGAAUCACGUACUAGCCUCAAUACCUGGGUGAUGAAAUAAUCUGUACAACAGACCCCCAUGACACAAGUUUACCAUGCAGCCAACCUGCACUUGGGACCCUGAACUUAAAGAAAAACAUUAUUCUUAAAUGAAAAAUAACGUUUCCAAGACGAAGAACAGGCAGAAGAAUGGCAUUUUAUCAAAUGGAUUUGCAAAUACCUUUAAUGCCCGGCUUUCCAGAAGCAAACCUCCAUCUGCGCUCAGUCUGUGGUAAAACGUUUGAGAGUGUAUGAUGAUCCAGCCUCACACGGGUGUGCAGCCGGGGGAGGAGGGAGCAUUCGAAUAGUCUUUUCAAAAAUUUGCGGAUAUUGUUCUUUGAUACUACAUCAACAUUUGACAACUGUUAGUUUCUGAAAGGCGAGUUGCCGUGUGGAAUCUGAGACCAUCCCAGAGACCUUUCCAUCCUGCUAAGUGAAAAUGCAGUGGUCUCUUUUGCACCUUGAGCAGAACUUUUACCCAUGCGUGGUUUCAUAACACCGUGCACUGGUCACUUGGAAAAUACUGGUUCACUGGUUGAACAAUUACACAUAUAACAUUACAAAAUCACAUUCAUUAGGCCAGGUGUGAUGGCUCAUGCCUGUGAUCUCAGCACUUUAGGAGGGCGAGGUGUGGGGAUUGCUUGAAUCCAGGAGUUCAAGACCAGCCUGGGCAACAUAGCCCUCAUCGCUACAAAAAAUUGAAAAAUUAGCCAGGUGUGGUGGUGUGUGCCUGUAGUCCUGGCUACUUGGGAGGCUGAGGUAGGAGGAGGAUUGCUUGAGUGUGAGAAAGAGAUCAAGGCUGCAGUGAGCUGUGAUCAUGUCAUUGAACUUCAGCCUGGGUGACAGAGUGAGACCCUGUCUCAAAAAAAAGACCACAUUAUUGAUAUCACCACCAAUCUCAUUAGAAAGCUGCUAAGUAUUGGAGAGGCUAAAAUUCACAGUGACAAAUACAAAAUUUCAAAAAUUCAAAUUUUCAUUUGGAAGCUCAAAAAAUUUUAAUGGCAACAAAUACUGUCACUUGUUUCCCUUGCAAUGACAGGCUCACUUCAUUCUCAAAUGUCUGCCAAAUACUAGAUCUGAGUAAUAUGGUUUGUCCAUCAGCUGUUCUUUCCAGUAAAAAUGACGUUCUAUGACAAAAGCUUACCUUCUACUCAAUCACAAAAGUGCUUUCCUCAUGGCAAUCAUCACACUUCAAGAUCAGCGGACUAUUAAAAAUGUGCAAGUGGAGGGGCACGGUGACUCACGCUUGUAAUCCCAGCACUUUGGGAGGCAGAGGCAGGUGGAUCAUUUGAGGUCAGAAGUUCGAGACCAGCCUGGACAACUUGGUGAAACCCCAUCUCUACUAAAAAUACAAAAUUAGCCAGUUGUGGUGCCGAGUGCCUGUAGUCCCAGCUACUUGGAAGGCUGAGGCUGGAGAAUUGCUUGAGCCUGGGAGGUGGAGGUUGCAAUGAGCCGAGAUUGUGCCACUGCACUCCAGUCUGGGCGACAGAGUGAGAACCUGUCUCAAAACAAAAAUGUACAAGUAAUCUUUGAAAUUGAAUAAAAAUAAUCCUGCCCCAAGGAUAUUUUCAAGUGCAACCAGUUUUUUGUUUGUUGAAUGAGACAGUGUGACAGUGAAGGGUGUCAUGAUGGGUAGCACAGGGAUUCUAAUUCCUGUGAAUUCCUGCCAAGGCACUGGUUUUACCCCUGUUGCUUUUGACCUCAGUGCAAAUACCAACACAGUGAAAAGGCCAAAAAACAUUCGUAUUAUUGUGAAAAUAGUUUUGACCUCUCAGGCCCUCAGUAAGGGUCUUGGGACAUGCUGUUCCCAAAUAGAUCCAUGGAACAGACUUUGAGAGCCAAGCGCCUGGCGUGCUGGCACUCAGGAGUGUGAACUGCUUGUAGAAUUCCUGGGCUACAGGUAUCAGAUGAUGAAUAGGAGGUGAAGUGGGGCAGCUAGCAAGCGUAAAACUUGGGCUGGAACACGGAUCUUCUGACUGCGACAGCUAGCCUCCCUUUCCAUUUGCUCUGUGGUCCUCCCCAGUGCAGUUUUGACCAUCUUGCCCAGAAGCUGCAAACAGACAACAGAAGCCGGGGCUGGCGCUGCGUUAGACGGCUCUCAGUGCAGGGGCUGCACAAGGUGUGUUGUGGAGCUGGGAUGUUUGCAGUUCACACUCCAAUGUGCAACUGUGACCAAAUGGAGAUGGAGGACGCGACAAUGAGCUACGGGGACAUUGAUGAAGCGUGGACGAGGAGUCAGUGGCAUCUGUCUGUGUCCUGGAACCGACCAGGCACUGCUGCUUCCUUUUGCAUCCCAAGGCCGGGACUGACCUGACAGUAGGUAGGCUUUGCUCUAUGCUCCAACUCCCACUGGCCACAGGGUGAAAGCACCCUUUCUCAGUCAGCCUCACUGCUUCCCCACAGAUGGAGGGAUUUUCUGCAGGGGCAUGAGCCCUGGGCCUUCCUUUCCCACCGCCUCUUGACAGCCUCCUCCAGAUGUGCUGCCUGGCCCAGCUCUUCCGGUGACUUUUGGUCUGUCUCAUCUGACUCAUCAAGAUUCACACAGGGCUGUGUCCUGGGCUGGGCUGGAGUUGAUUGAGGGAGGAGGUUUGUGUUCCAGAACAGAGCAGUGAUUGGUUCAAUUGAACUCUGACAGGCAGAUCGUCAGGUAAAAAGCACGUGAGCACGCUCCCCGGAGCCUGCCGCCCUGCGAGGCCUCUUGCCUGGUCGGGGGCUCACAUGCAACACGGAUCCCCCAAGCCAAACAAUGGGAUUGAGCGGAGACCGUCCAGGGCACGUGCUCACAUCAGGUCUUGCAGUUUGCACCAGGUAGCCCAGGGUUACCCUGCCCCGCAAGAGCUGCCUUCUCAGCACAAUCUAGUUCUAUGGCUGCCUGGGCUGCAGAGGUCAGCUCCUGACCCUCGCUGAGCACCUCCGUCUAUGCGUUUCGAAAAGGGCCAAGUAAGGGGCAUUAACGUGGCCUGUGCUUAGUACCUGACAGCGAGUGGGAUUAAACCACUAUUAAACGCUCAGCCCUAAACCAAUGCAGACCAGAAAUAGGUCUCAGGAUAAAAGCAGUCAAGUGAUUAAAAAUCUAUUCCUGGACUUGUUACUUUCCUGGGAAAAAGUUAUUUCUUGUGAAAUAGGUAGGGACUGGAACUUUCCCUGACAGCCCGCUGGGAGCUCACUCACUGGCCCCGCCUGUGUUGGGGGUGUUGGGUGGUGAGAGGUGCAGGUCUGUCCAGAGGAAGGGUCUGGACAGAGGUGGAGGGAGGAGAGAGGGCGGAGAGGGAGAAUGGGCAUGAUCCACUGACCUUUCAAACUUGAUGCUUGAUGUUUUGAAAAAAAUGACAGAAAAUAUGGGCUGGGUGCAGUGGCUCAUGCCUGUAAUCCUAGCACUUUGGGAAGUUGAAAUGGGAAGAUCACCUGACGUCAGGAGUUCAAGACCUGCCUGACCAAGGUGGUGAAAGCCCGUCUCUACUAAAAAUACAAAAAUUAGCUGGGCGUGCUGGUGCGCACCUAUAAUCCCAACUACUCAGCAGACCGAGGCAGAAGAAUCAUUUGAAUUCAGGAGGCAGAGAUGCAGUGAGCCGAGAUGGCGCCUCUGCAGGCCAGCCUGGGUGACGGAGCGAGACUCUGUCUCAAAAAAAAGUAUGAAAAGUAUGAAGUAAGGGGGAAGUAGAGGGGCUUAGCCACAUGCUACAGAUCUUUUUAUACCAAGAUGCAUAGAUGAUUAGCUAAGUAGGACAGUUUGUUACUCUAGGCCUCCACAACCAAAGGGGCAAGAUAAUUAUCUCCAAGAGAACAAGUUGAUCUUCCUUGAAGGAUAAGGAGUUCCCCAAGCAGCAGGAAGAGCUUCUGUUUCCAAUUCCAGCCUUUGAAGUUUCUGCUUCAGUAGAAAACCUUAGCAUUUAAUGCGGGAAGGCGGGCACGUGCAUGUGCAUGUGUCUGUACCCACACGUGUGGCUCAAGCAGCCCUGUGACAAUGGGUUGCCUGCGGGCACACAGGGGAUGUGUGGGGAAGGCAGGAGGGUUUAGGGUGUGGGCUCAGGAUGCUGGUGAGAGAUUUAAGGCAGGCAAAGGGAUGUGGCAAAGUGCACUCCCGUUUCCUCAUUCCAUCAGAGCCUGCCUUAGUUAUUUACCGCUGUGGUUUUAAGCUCUGCUCUUCCAAACCCUUGGGUUCUGCAGAGGUCCUCCGAGAGGUGUGUGGGGGCAAGGGAAGGCGGGGGCAGGCACCCAGGCCACCCAGCCUCCUUCCAUUCCCCACGUCUGCUUUCAGCUGUUUCAUGUGCAUCAAGCAAUUGCAGCUGUCGUGGCUCAGGUCCUCAUCUGUACAGUGGGCACCAUGGCAGUGUUCAGGUCAGAGGGUGACCAGAGUGACAUGAAUUAAGGCAUGAGAAGGCUCCAAAGACUGGCUGGGCCUCUCACAUCAUAGGAGCACCAUAAGUAGUUGAUAUUACUUUGUGUUACUAGGUAUACACUUUUCAUCUGUAUUGUGACUUCCAUGGGCCCCACCUCUCAUGACCUCAACUCACCCUAAUGAGAUGGGCCCCCUGCAAAUACCAUGGAGGGGCAGGACUUGAGCCUAUGAAUUUGGCGGGGACACGAUUCAGUUCAAACCUCUUAGUGUUUCUUUUUUCUUUUUUUGAGAGGGAGUCUUGCUCUGUCCCCAGGCUGGAGUGCAGUGGCGUGAUUUGGGCUCACUGCAACCUGCGCCUCCCAGGUUCGAAGGAUUCUCCUGCCUCAGCCUCCAGAGUAGCUGGGAUUAUAGGUGCGCACCACCACACCCAGCUAAUUUUUGUAUUUUUAGUAGAGAUAGGGUGUCACCAUGCUGACCAGGAUGAUCUGCCCACCUCAGCCUCCCAAACUACUGGGGUUACAAGCGUGAGCCACUGCCCCUGGCCACCUCUUGGUGUUUUUGUGUAUCCAUUUCUGCAUGUGUGAACUGAACAGACAGCUUCUGACCUCAUCUCUAAAGGUGCAUGGAGGAGGUGGGAAGGCCCCAGCCUGAGACUGAGCUUUGCUGCCAGCACAAGGCUGGGUUUGGUGCUUCAGUGCAGGGGCACCCUCGGAAAGGUGGCAGGUGCCCACAGUGAGGAAGGGGCGGGAGUGAGGGAGUGCAUGGCCCAAGAGCACUCAGUGACGAUGGCCAUUAGGGAGGAAAUGAGGGAGUGGGGUGUGCGAAGUGCUGAGCUUUUCCUGCCCAGUUUGGCUGAGGACACGCCAUGGGUGAGUCUCUGCCACAAGGGGAGCUUGGUAAUGAGGAAGGAAGAAGACACGAUAGAGAACUGGAGGCACGAAGGUAGGAAAGCUAAAGGAACGGGGAGGAGAAAGGGCUUCUCUGGAGCUGCUUUUGCUUUCCCCAGAUUCUCCUGCCAUUCCUGGCUGCAGGGACUCCUGAGGAAUUUGGUUAGGGUGGAGAAUCCCGCAGAGGAAAGAAGAGAAUGGACAAGAGCUCACACAUGGCUUCUUGGAGGGGCCGGGGGAGCAGGGGCUGUGAAGCUGCAGGUGGCAGGCCCAGGGAAGGAAGUUCUUCAGCGGAACCUUCGUAUGAAUUCCACUGAGAUGCGUCCGGCACAGACCCGAAGGCAGCCACAUGUGGAAAUGAGGUUUCAUGUGCAUUUCGGAUCCACAGAGAGGGUGGACUCUGUUUUGCAGAAUGGACUGGUGGGUGGGGGAAGGAAUGCUGGCAGAACUUUGUAUUCCACUCAGUCCUGUAUUCAUUCAUCCAACCAUCCUUCUUUUAUCAUUCAUCAAAUUAACACACACUGCAAGUCCACUUUGUGUCAGCUUCGUGCCUGGCCCAAGACCUCAGGUGGUUUCGGCAAAGUUCCGUCGCCAAGGAGCUCACGGGCGUAUUUCCUGCCAGGACCCAGACACUCUCUGCGUGGAGCCUGAAGAGGUUCUGAGCCUGAGGGAAGAAAGGUAGAGGCUCAGGAUUUGUCCAAUAACACUGCCGAUGGUGAGAGAUGGGGGGGCUGAUGCCCACCCUUAGCCAGAUGCCUCCCUCCCAGGCCGCAUGUCCUCUCCCAGACCCCAAAGCUUUGUGCCUGGUCUGAGUUCUUGGGAGAAGAGGGAUUAGAAGCUGGAACAGGCAUUUCUGCUAAUGGCACGCAUCAGGUCAGCAUUUGUGGGGGCUCUGUCACCCGGUGGGAUGGCCCAGCGGGAAGUGUGGCAUGUCUCCACCGAGAUCUCCAUGGAGCAGUUUGGCUCCCUGAGAAGUUGAGGUAUGAGCAGUAGCUGCCUUCCCUUUGCAGACAGAAGGCUCGGGAGAGAAGACGCCCUCUUGAUUGGAGGUGGAAAGGAAGCUGUAUGAUGGGGAAGAGCCCAGGUUUGGGGUUCAAGGUGCUGGCCACUGGGAAAAAGCGCUGCCCGAGUUGCAAAACUCUAGAUCCUAUACAUAUAAACUGUACCCCGAGGAAGGGAUCUCAGACGUAUCGUAGGAGAACACGUUCUAGCUUGUGAAGCAAAUACAACAGGACCGUGAAUCCAGAUAUUUCAAGCGAGUUUAGAGGACUGGAGCUCUAGACGCUGCUUUGACUGUAAAUUAUCACAGCCUGGAAUGUGAUGAAGAAAGGAAAAUGGGCCGGUAACAGCAAGGACUAUGGGCAAGGAAAACCAGAGUGUGCCAUGUGGCAAAGCAGCCCUCUGUGUAUAGUAACAGAAUCAAGUCACGGAGUAACAGAAUCAAGCUGAUGUGUGUGGCAGGGGCGGGGAGGAUGAGGCAGCUCCCAGCAGAACAGAAAGAUAUUAACGUGUAACCUAAGUGAGGCUGGAGGCAGGGGAAAAGUGGGGCUCUCUCUUUUUAAGAUGCCAGAAAGUAGUCAGUCAUGCUAAGAACAGAACAAACACAAACAAAGCUCUUGAGAAGAGUAAGGCUAAUGAUCUUCGAGAAUUGGAUCAUUAUUUCCACACGUGUCCAGGAGAACACAGGCAUAAAAGCACAAAGGAGAAACUUAAAGAGGGAGGGAGAAGUCAAAGCUCAAGUGAAGAGAUUUUUAACCUAGAGAGACUGAGUUAUCAGGGAAGGGGGAAGCCCAAGCCAGCUUGUCACAGAAUGUUCCGGAAGUUCAGAUAACGAUAGACUUACAUAAACAGGGACUGAUCAAGUGAUACUGAGCUCUUGGUGAAAUUGCUUCCAAGGAUUUCACAGAAGUGUAUUUCGUUGAAAUGGACAGUAACCAGAUGACUGCAUUAAAAUUUUAAAACUGUCAGGCGUGGUGGCUCACACCUGUAAUCCCAACACUUUGGGAGGCCAAGGCAGGUGGGUCACUUGAGGCCAGGAGUUCAAGACCAGCCUGACCAACAUGGUGAAACCCCACCUCUAUUAAAAAUACAAAAAUGAGCCGGGUGUAGUGGUGCAUGCCUGUAAUCUCAGCUACUUGGGAGGCUGAAGCAGGAGAAUUACUUGAACCUGGGAGGCAGAGGCUGUGGUGAGCAGAGAUCACACCACUGCACUCUAGCCUGACUCUGUCUCAAAUAAAUAAAAUUAAAUUAAAAGAAAAACUGACUCGUAGGUGACAGGGGGAUGGAGGCAGCAAACCACCUAUGCAACAAUCCUGCAAGGUCUGCACCUGUACUCCAGAACUUCAACCAUAACAAUAAUUUAAAAGAUCAAAAAAGAAAAAAGAAAAAAACCCCUCAGCAAUGAGCAUAAACUCUGUCAAUGAUAAGUAUAGGUGAAUAUUUGAAAAAAAGCCUUAGCAAUGAUUAUCUCCAGAGAGUGGAGAGAAUGUGUGGAUGGAAUUUUUGUGUUUUACACUUUGGAAUAUUUCUAAAUUUUUAAAGAAGCAUGGGUUACUUUCAAACGUUGUAUCUUGAAUAAAAUGCAAGGCUAUAAAUGCCAUUAUUAAAAAACAACAAAACUGACGGAUGCCGUUGGGAGUGUUUCCACAGAACAGACCAGCUGGGAGGCAGAGCCGGCCUGGAUUGCCGCCUCUCCCCAGCACAGCCGGUGCCCCCCUCCCGCUCCUGGCCACCUCCACGGUCCCCUGCCCCUGCCAGGCCUAGGGGAAGCUGUGAAUGUGCUUCUCCACUUGAGGGUGCGGGACAACACCGGGGCCUUGGGCUGGGCCUCUGCGCUAGAAAGCCCCGCCAUCCAGUCAGGGGCUGCUGGAGCUGAGUUUUGUCUUCCACGGCUUGUGAAGGAAAGAUGAAGCUAUCAGAUCAUGAGCAGACGCUGGGGUGCCCUGGGUAAGAGCCUGGGUACUGGCAUCAGGCGAACCUAGAUUCGCAUUUCCACUCUUUGAUGAACUGGUUUUGUGACCUCACUGAGCCUCAAUUACUUCACCUGCUUACCCUUAUUUUAAUAAGAAUAAAGGGAGAGGGAAAAUGAGGUCACACAUCAAAGCCCAUAGCACAGCACCUGGCACCUAGGAAGGGCACAGCACCUGUCUUCCUCGGGUAAUGGGGGCAGCUGUGGCUUUGACGUGGUUCUGCCCAGUUUGGGCACUGACGCGUGGCCGGGCUACAGUGGAUGCUUGAGUUCAGGAUAGAGCUGGGGGCAGCUGACCUUACUGGGCCCUGGUGGGGGUGUUCUUGGAAAUCCCACCACAGAGGGUGGUGUGAAUCCCAGAGCCAGGGUGCAUACAGCACAGAGUUGUGUCCAGGGGGCUUGCGGACAUCACGUCAGUGUCCCACCAUCAUGAAGAAGUUAUGAACUAGUGACUUCUCAUGAAAGUCAGCUUGAGGCUCCAGAGCAGGGGGGAGCAACUUCCCAAAAGAAGGAAGCAGGAAGGGGAAACAGCUCGGGGCUGGGAAAGCCGCAGUUGGCCCAACCAGACUGUGGGAAGGAGAGGGAAGGCAAGCUGCGGCGAUGCAGGAAGGGCUGAGAGCAUCUCAUCCCAAGAGAGGAGGAAGGAGGAGACGUGGCCAGCCAGGCCCAGGACGUCCCAGCCUCUGGGCCGGCAGCAACAGCAACGCUUCUUAAAUGUCACCCAGUUGAGGAGAAGGGGGUGUGGGAGUAGAGCCUGUCCUAGAAAAGAGCAAACAGAAUGAAACUGGAGCUGGGGGUGAGGGGCGGGGACAUGUGGGUUCAUAAGGAAGCGGGAUGUAGUGGCCGGGGAGGCUUUAGUGCUGGAGGAAAAGGGCAAACGUGUGUGUAUCUUACAGUGAAACCUCCACCCGAGAGCUGGGGGAUCCAAGAAGAGACCUGAAAAAAUAUCUGUGGAAAAGGCGUAGAGUCCUUGGAAGUCGGGUUGAAAGACCUCGAAGUCCGGGGAGGGGAUGGACCCUCGGUCAUGAUCCGGGUGGGUGGGGAAGGAGGGGCCCGAGGAGCCGUGCACCACUGGUUGGGAUCAGGAGCCUGACGCACCUGAGGAAGCGCCUGGACCCAGGGCAGCUGGUGUGGGAUGAACACCACGUGGGUCUCAGGUCUGUGUGUUGAGUCCAGCCUCCCUUCCGAGGGGCGGCUCCUUCUUUUCAUUCCUUGGCUUCCCAGCCUCUGACACGGGGUUAACCAUGACAGCUGUCCUGGGUGGGGCCACAGACAUGUGAGUAGAGGGUCACUGAUGAAUGACUGACUGGUGAGCAUGUCCACGCAAAAGGAGGGCACGUUGACCUGGAAGCACAUUUUCCCUCAAUCCACUCAGAAAAUCCCAGGACCAAAGACAGGGCCGAAGGUUUCCACAGGCCACUGGCACUGAGCUCUGGCACAUGCAAAAAUGGAGUCAGAUGGCCGGGAGGAGGAGCAGGGCUGGGACUCCUGCCCCGGGAGCCCUGGUCUGCCCGCUGCACUCUCCUGCUUCUGAGCCCAGAGCCCAGCACCUGCCGACCCAUCCAAGUGCCUAGACCCUGCAAGGCUGAGCAUAGGAUGAAGGGUGGCUCUGCCAGGAGCCCUGUGAGGUUUCUCAGUCAGUGGACCUGACCCCCCAAAGCAUUGUCUGUGACUAACCCCAACCAAUUCAAGGACAUCAGCCUGGUAGGUGGGGGAGAUGGACAGGUACACAGGCACCCCUUGGGAGGUCAGGGGCAAAGUGCAGCGGGUGAAGGAGGGCAGUGGUGGCCUGCGGAGGGCAGAGCUGUUUUAGGGGGCUGCUUGCAUCUGGAUGGCCUGAGAAGGGUGUGGUGGGGGGUCCUGGGAGAAGAGGGUGCCCUGUGGGGAGGCCCAAAGACGGAGGCUGGGUGGGAGGGCAGCAGGGUGGUUUUGGGAGGGGGAUCUUCCGGCCCUCAGUCCCCCCGGCCAUUGCAGGCUUCACCUCAGCCAGUGGCCUCUCGUGGACCCAACUUCAUUUCCACCCUAGACAUAGGGCCAGACUUGCUGGUAACCCAGGUUCCCAUCUCUGGGGUCUCUGGGCUCCCCUCCAAGGAGCCCGUAAGAACAGGGCCCUCCUGUCCUCUUCUCCCCCUUUCUUCUCUAAGGCAGCCCUGCUCUCCUCCCAGGACACAGCCCCACCGAGGGUGCCCUGCAGCUGAGCUUCAUGCCCGGACCUGCUCUGGCUUGGAGGGGACACUUGGCCAUUCCUGCAGACGGGCUGGCUCCUGCAGAACAGGUUUCCUGUGGCAAGAACUCCUGAGAGGCGGUGAGCGGCCAACCCUCCUACACAAGGACCCUCCUACCGAGGGGACUGGGCCUGUGGGGUCAGCAGGAGUGGGGCAUGGCCACAAGGCUGCUGUCGGGCCAGAGGGAGGAGGCGGUUCUCCCAGGCUCACUGUUCCCACUGAGUCAGAGCCAGUGCCCUUCUUGUCCCUGCCAGUUCCAUGUGCCCAAUGGCAAGCACGGAGGAGAGCAAGUGCCAGGGGCAGAGGACACCAUCUGGCUCGCCCCGUCCUCCACAGAGGGCCCUAUGGUCCUGCAAGGUGCCUGCCUCCUUUCCUCUCUGACCACAUGCCAACAUCUCUCUUGCUUUCCUGGUCCGUGUUGGACCCCGGGGCUAUCGUCUCCCUGUGUGGCGCCAUCGGGGAUUGAAGAGCCACGGUGUGGAGGUGUUGCAUCCUGAGAGCCUCCAAGUGGCCUGCCCACUCACUGGGCAGGCCACUGGCCGAGCACCCGCUCCUGGUGGGAGGUGGGGUCUCAAGAAGGUGGAAGUCACAAUGCAGAGGGAAGACCAGUCCCUUACCUUUGCAGGGUGCUUUGCAGGCUACAGGCACCUUCCCUUUUGCUUCUUGCAGCAGCCCCAUAGCGGGAAGGGGUAGGGAUUCCUAACCUCUCUAUGGUGGAUGCAGCCAGCGCUCCUAAGCCCAGGGCCUCCUUGUCUCCAGCUCUCCCUGGGAUGGGCCUUACUCGGGAGCCUGAGGUGGGAGGAUUGUUUGAACCCGGGAGGUGGAGGUUGCAGUGAGCCAAGGUCACGCCACUGCACUCCAGCCUGGGGGACAGAGCGAGACACUGUCUCGAAAAGGAAAAAAAAGAAAAAGAAAAAGAAAUAGGAGAUACUUAGCAAAACAAAGAUCCUUUAAAGAUGUUUCAUCCAGUUCCUUGUACACAAGCACACACACGUACACACCCACACACGUACACACCCACACACCCACACACGUAUACCCACACACACCCACACACAAUGACCAUAUCAUUCAGCCUUUUUCAUCUUUUCACCCCUUUUUCUGCCUAUCAGUAUCUCUGCAAGCUGUAUUAACAUCCCAGAGUUUUGUUCACACAUGUAAAAUCCUGUCAUUAGUUGUAAUACAUGACACAGUGCCAGGUUACUAAGAAUAAAGCUGUCGCAUUUGACCUUUUCACCAGCAAUGUGGAAGGAGGACAGUUUCUUCAUAUCUUCUCUAGCAGUAGGUAUUUUAAUUUUUGCCAGCUGGAUUGGGCAUGGCGCGAUGCCUCGUCAUUAUCUCAGUCGGCCCCUCCUCCUCUCCUGCCGAAGUCCAGCGGCUUUUACUGUUGGUCGGCCAUUUGAAUUGGCUUUUCUGUGAAUGGGCUGCUUACAUCCUUGGCUCAUUUUCCUAUUGAAUUGUUAUUGUUGCAGUUUUAACAGUUUUAAAGCUCUUUGUAUAUUUAUCAUCUCCCCCAAGAUCUAUCAUUUUUAUCUAUAGUCUUUUUUUUUUUUUUUUGCUGCUCAUACAAAAGGUUUACCUUUUUAUAGGUACCCAGAUAUGCCUACCUUUCUUUGACGACUUCUGGGUCUCCAGAAUUCUUUAAAUAUGUUCCUCUCUCACCUCUCACUUUGUGCAUCCAUCCACUUGCCUUUAACUGUCUAGGUCUAAACUUCCCCAAAGGUUUCUGUACGUGUGUGUGACAGCAGUGAGCAGGAUCACGACCAUCCCUGAUCCUGUCCAGCAUUCAGGCUCACGGCAGUCUUCACGCUUCAGAAUAUGGUUCUGAAUCCUGAGAUACACCGGCAGCCCUCUGCGCCACCUCAGAAUGAUUGCUUUCUUAGUGUUGUUACUCCAAGAACACUGCCGAUUUACAAGCUUGCUUAAUUUCUUUUCCUGACAACUUUGAGUUCUGUCUUAAAAGUUCUGCCAAUACUAGCUGUGAAAUGAAGAGGAACGCAGGACAUGCUGAGAAGACCCAUGGGAGAGGGAGAGGAAGAGGGACCCACUCCACGACUGCGGGUGGGAAGGAAAGAGGGACCCACCCCACGACAGCAGGUGGGAAGGAUCACCUGGGAGAUCACCGCCAACCGGGACUGUCUCACGUAUGGCAGACCCCAUGCAAACCUCUGCACAGUGAAUAGAGAGGUCCUAUGUAUCGGUUUAAACCACUGGGAUUAUACUCCAUCUAAUUUCGAGUUGAAAUGUUUCAGUUCUUGGGUAAGUGCCUCUCUCAAGACAGUUCUCCAGGAGAUGCUGGAUAACCAGGGUUGGGGAGUGGGGACCAAUGAGCAGGCUCUGGUCUGGGACACAGAGCCAGGUGUGUCCUGCCAGGUUCCCAGGUGUGUCAUUGAUGGGUCAGAGUCUGGGGGAGGACUGCUCUUGCCCACUAACCCAGCAAGUCUAGACACAUUGCGGGCACUGGAUAAAUAGCAACCCACGCCAGCUCCAGAGCCUCUCUUCACCGGAGAACACACAAGCAUCCUCCCAGGAGAGGGGAGGGGGGCUCUGCCCUUUGCCCAGGGAACACCUGGUGUGACUUCAGGUUGUUGUAGCCCAAGAAUCACACUGUUGAUUGGACAGGGACUGGAACGGAGCUCUCUACCCUCCAAGUCCUCACCCUGUGAUUAUUUCCUGUAGAAUUCUGUGCCCCUGUCAAGCGUGUUCCACGCAAGUGGUCUAUAUGGCAGAUGCCAGGAGUGCAGUGGACAACAAGGCUGAUUGGCAGCAGUGAAAUCAGGUGUUUCUUCAUUCAGCUGAAGCCCUGAGAACUUAGAAUUGGCACCUGAGUAUGCAGUGAGGGUACGUCUGCUUUGGCCAGGAAGCAGCCUGGCACAGCACCCAACAGAGAGACGGUGUGGGCAGGGGUGCAGGAGGGUCGGGCAGCUCCUGCCUACUGAGCGCUUGCUCUUGCCAGGUGCUGGGCAGAGGUUUUCUUGCAGGGCCUUGACCCUCUCAAGGCUACUAUAAGGCAGGUGCUGGUACCAUAUUCUUCACCUGGAAGCACGCAGCAUUUAGGGGUGGAGCAGUUCUCCCAGGCCGCACAGGUAGCAAAGUGCAGAAGCCAGGAGCUGACCCCAGUGAUCUGAACACACGCCAGGAGCUGACCCCAGUGAUCUGACCACACGCCAGGAGCUGACCCCAGUGAUCUGACCACACGCCAGGAGCUGACCCCUGUGAUCUGACCACACGCCAGGAGCUGACCCCUGUGAUCUGACCACACGCCAGGAGCUGACCCCUGUGAUCUGACCACACGCCAGGAGCUGACCCCAGUGAUCUGACCACACGCCAGGAGCUGACCCCAGUGAUCUGACCACACGCCAGGAGCUGACCCCUGUGAUCUGACCACACGCCAGGAGCUGACCCCUGUGAUCUGACCACACGCCAGGAGCUGACCCCUGUGAUCUGACCACACGCCAGGAGCUGACCCCUGUGAUCUGACCACAUGCCAGGAGCUGACCCCAGUGAUCUGACCACACGCCAGGAGCUGACCCCAGUGAUCUGACCACACGCCAGGAGCUGACCCCAGUGAUCUGACCACACACCAGGAGCUGACCCCUGUGAUCUGACCACAUGCUGUUGGGAAGAUGCGUGCAAGGCUCCACCUGCAGCCAUUUGACCCCCUGUAAAUGGAACAGCUGCCACUCAGUUCCCCGGAGGCAGGGAGCUGUACGGGGAACCUUGGACUUGGCAAUGGAACUGAAUUCUGGGAAUCUCUGAGCUCGAAGGGAGUAUCUGGGAAGACUGGAAAAAAAGUAUUCUGGGAAAAAAAGUUUUUCCCUCUCUUCUGAAAUCACACACCAUGUGCACUUGACAAACAACGUCUCAGCACCAGCUAUGGCUCUGAAGGCAGCCCUGGUCCCUAGUUUCCUUGAGGUUAAAGGCAGCGAGCCCCAUCCUCUGUCUCUAGACCCUUGACUGUUCCCUGGCAGAAUCAAUGCUACCACCCACUUCCCUUCCACCAGGCCCAAUCUCAGGGCAAGAGCUAGGCAUUAGCUCCGGAGAGAGGGGUGUGGAAAUGCCAAACACUGGGGCCCGCUGCACCCCUGAGGGAGAUCUCUUCAAGCCCUCUCCCUCUCCAGGCUGGGCCUUUGUGAAGAUGGAGAAGCUGUCUUGAACCCCUUGGCUUGCUCAGAAUCUCUGUGAAUCAGCUGCAGGGGAAACUGGGCCCUGGGCAGAAUGUUCCUGGAGGGAAGUGGUUGCUGUCAAGGCCAGGAGGGGUUGGCAGGCUAGCCAUCCCAUUCCCCAACCCCAUGCCAGUUCCUGGGCACCUAAGAGCCCUCCCACUCCCAUUCCUGCAUUUCCUGUCUGCUGCUGAUCUGUUCCUCCCUGGGAGGAGUCUCUCACCCCCAGGCAUUUGGAGGGUGGGGAGCCUUCCUCCACCCUUUGUUCUGACUGCAGAAAAGGAGGGGGUUCCCAUGCCAAGCCAGGCUGCCUGGGACAGACGCUGCCAUAGAUCACUGCGGCCGCCUGCACUCUGGACCACAAGCUCUGAGAGCAGCAGGUGAGGGCCGGUGGGCAGCAGCUUGGAGGCUCCUCGA